UGGGCUGGGUGUGAAAUGGGAGCCCGGCUCUGCCCCCAGCCUCUGCCACUGCCCCUUUGCUGGGCGGGGCUGGGGCAGGGGCAGCCAGCCUGCCAAAAACAAACCCCCGUGGGGGGAGCAAAGGUAGGGCUGCAGAACACCAGCUGCUUUGGGCUGCAGGCCAGGAAAGGCUUGGGCUGCCUUGGCUUAGGAGCCUUUCUUUGGGCCAGUGCAGCAGGGCAGGGAGAAGGCCUGGGUUUUCCUUAGCUGGAGGAGGUGGGGUUUUUCUUUGGCCUGGAGGGGUUGGGCCUUCCUCAGAACCCUGACACAAUGUUAACAUUUUACCUUUUUGUCUUGUUUCCACUUUUUGUUUGUAAUCUCUUGUCAUGAAUUUGUUGUUUGUUUUUGAGGGAAGAGUUGGAGCUGGUGCCCAGUCUGGAUUGGGAAGGGCUGGGAUCAUCCCUGGAGAGGAUCUGACGUCCCCUCUGAGAAGGCUGAGGACAUCCUUUGGGACACGCUCUUCUUCUGGCAGCAGAUCUUGUGAGACAGGACACCUCUGCCUGAUCUCCCUCAGAUCUGAGGGAUCUCUGGAUCUUCACGCCAGCACCAGGACUUUGCUGGAGAAGAGCACAGAUCCCCAGCCCAGUCUGGGACACAGAACCCUCUGAAAUGGCAGAAGGAUUGUGGUGUGAAUGCAGCGCCCUCAGAGCCCUUGGUGUGAGCCCGGAAAGGAAAAUCAAGGGAAAUGGUUAAAGCCUUGUUGUUCAAUGUGGAGCACAGGAGAACUUUGUUCUCAUCGUCUCCCCGAUAAGGAGGAGGACUCAGAUCUUCUGGUUGGCCCCACGGGCAGGUUGAGUGGGGGAACAGAAAAUCAAGAUGCAGAAACCAAUCUUGCAGGGGAACUGGCAUGUGAAGAGGCAGAUUUAGCAUGUCCAGAAGAAAAGGGAGAGAGAAUGUGUCAGAGAGAGAGCAGAGAGCUUCAGUGCAGCUGCAGGAAGAACUAGAGCUGAACAAGGAGGGGUGGGAGUGGCCCCCCUGUGUGAUAGAACCCAGACUAAAUGGCAAAAGCCUUCAAAAUGAUGAUUCAAACCCAGGAUCCAGGCUAGAAGGAUCCUUUGUUAGAAGUGUUGUUUGGUAGUAGGGAGAAAGCAAUGGUUGUUAAAACUAGUCAGAGGUUUUUGGAAGAGCAGAUUUUGGUGGGGAAUAUCCAGAGUACAUUGGACAUUCCCUUUCCCACUGCAGAUCCUGAAUGGGAUCCUAACAUCCCUAUUUUUAGAGAAAGGUUCAAUAGAUACCUGCAGUGGAUGUUGUCUGGAAUGAAACAUGCCAGGCCAAAGGCAAUGAACACGUCAAAAUUCUCUGCAAUGAAGCAGGAUCACAGGGAAUAGCCUACUGAAUUUUUAAAUCAUCUGGAAGAAACAGCACAAAAAUAUACUAAUAUCCAUCCUGAAACACAGGGGGGAAGGACUCAACUGGCCCCCAUAUUUGUGGGGCAGUCCUCAGAUGUGGUUAGGAGGGAAUGACAAAAAGCUGAGGGACAAGAUCAAUCUAAUUUGGGGACAUUGUUGGAGGUUGGGAGAAUCAGCAGGAAUCAGCUAAGCAGGAAGGAGUUGCAGUUCUGGAGGAAAUCCCUGAGGAAAUGGUGCCCCCGGGGAGAGGAAGAGGAUGAGAGCAUGGGCAGCCUGCUUCAAACAUCCCCCCCAGGAGACUUGGGAUCAAUCCCUGUGCAUCCUGUAAGAAAGAUGGACACUGGAAAUGGGAUUGUCCGCAACUGAAACUUCAGAACCCUCCGAACCCUCUCGUGGCAUCACUGAAGACGACUGAGGGGGCACCAGAGGAUUCUUCCCCAUCAGAACAUCUGGUUCCAGCCAAGCUAAGUACAAUUGGUUGUGGCUGUGGGAACUUGUUCCUGUGUGUUAAAUAAGGGAAAAUGAAACUCAAGUCACAAUUCUGGAACAAUUGUCUGGUGUGCCAGGGAAUUGGGAAACUGGGCCAUUUUUAAUGCUGUGGAUUUGAGAUUGGGAAAACAGUGGUUG